GCAGGUGCUAAGGGUAAAUGGAGUGUGUCUGAUACUUCUGAGACCUCGAAGAACGUGCCAUUUCUGCUCAUUCGCUGCCAGUGGUACGUCCAAGACACAAGGAGCUGUAAAGAGCACAGGAAUAAAGAGCAGGAAUGGAUGCCAAGAGGAAGGAAAGUAGGCGGCACAGAAGAUGGGAAACAAAGCAAAAAACGUCUGGGCAACACGGUACUAGAUCUUAAAUGCUGCUCAGUAGGCCUGAAUGGGAUCCU
rnacentral:lncRNA from 1 species